UACGAGUGCCCCGAGCGUUAUCCGGAAUCAUUGGGUUUAAAGGGUCCGUAGGCGGGUUAAUAAGUCAGUGGUGAAAGUCUGCAGCUCAACUGUAGAACUGCCAUUGAUACUGUUAACCUUGAGUAAUUAUGAAGUGGUUAGAAUAUGUAGUGUAGCGGUGAAAUGCAUAGAUAUUACAUAGAAUACCGAUUGCGAAGGCAGAUCACUAAUAAUUUACUGACGCUGAUGGACGAAAGCGUAGGUAGCGAACAGG
rnacentral:misc_RNA from 1 species